GACGAACGCUGGCGGCGUGCCUAAUACAUGCAAGUCGAACGCAGUGGGGACGGGUGAGUAACACGUGGGUAACCUCCCAUCAGAGGGGAUAACACUUGGAAACAGGUGCUAAACCGAUACUGAUGGAUGGACCCGCGGGGCAUUAGCUAGUUGGUGAGGUAACGGCUCACCAAGGCCACGAUCCAUAGCCGACCUGAGAGGGUGAUCGGCCACACUGGAACUGAGACACGGGCCAGACUCCUACGGGAGGCAGCAGUAGGGAAUAUUCGGCAAUGGACGAAAGUCUGACAGAGCAACGCCGCGUGAGUGAAGAAGGUUGUCGGAUCGUAAAACUCUGUUGUUAAAGAAGCGGUAUCUAACCAGAAAGCAACGGCUAACUACGUGCCAGCCGCCGCGGUAAUAC
rnacentral:rRNA from 1 species